GGUAGGAUGGCUGAGUGCUUAAGCGGUGGGCUGUAGUCCCAUUAACAGAGGUUUGAGUCCUCUUCUUACCA
rnacentral:tRNA from 1 species